UACUGACUCAGACUGAGCUCCAUUCAAUCCCUGCCAGCCAACACAUUACUUCUCCUUUAAGGGUAUGUUGUCCUUUAGCCUACUUAGACAUUUUAUAAUAUGUACUACUAAUAAAAAGGCAUGGCGAUACAAACGGGAGCACAGAGAGAAGGAGUGUAAUUUGACACAUAAACAACUGUGUUUUCAUGAAAUUCUUAUGAUAAUUCAUAAGACUUAUGUUAUCCUUCACUUAGUAGAUAUUUUAAAGUAUUUAUAACUAAUAUAGUUACUAAUACGGUUGUUCGAAGGCAUGGGGACAUUUAAUCUGUGGUGCCACUACUGAAGGUGUUCUAGAAAGGCAUUCUUCUAAUAGGGGGAGGAGCCUCUUCUGUGCCUGCUACAGACGUCAUGUGGCACAGAUCGUUCUGAACAGCACUGAUACCUCUGCACCAGGAAUGCAGGGGAACCGGUUUCACACUGACCACAGGCAUAGUCAUAAGCCAUGUGAUGGCGUUCAUGGCAUUGACUUCUCUCUUGCACAUACACACACACACACACACAGCAGCACUGUAACCUGUGGAUCCUUCUACUGUAUUAGAAUAGGCUGAAUAUAUGUAUGUGUGCGUGUGCCCAUACAGCAGUGUGUUUUUGGCAGAAAGAAAUGGUAGGGUAAUCUGUGGAGGGGUAAACAGUAAACAUUCCCCUCUUAUCCUACAUCUGAUCAGGAUCAUGGAACAGUCUAGAACAAGACUGAAGACAAAGUGCUCACUCACCCAGACACGCUUUGUUUAUUUGGACCAUAAGGACAAUUUCUGAGAUGGGUGCUUCGGACUCCAGGCCAACUCUUUUCAGUAGACGUAAACAAGACAAGGGGCUUUCAUGGAAUGGCCUGAAGAGAGCGCUGUUUAAAAAACAGAAGCGGAAAAAGAACGUUCUGCGCAAGCUGUCUAUCGGCAACAACCGGAAAGGAUCCCAGUCUCUCAAGAGAUUCUCGGUCCCAAACAUCAGGAAAAGUUCACAGCCUUCGAAGAGAUUCUCCCUUUUUGAACUUUAAGGACAUUUUGGUUGGAGGAGGCCAUUUUAUAAAUAAAUCACUUGUAGGGAGUGUUAUGUUCAGAAUAGGUCUACAUCUUGUGCCAUGAUCCAAGCGGAGUAAGACCAAUCUGUUAAUUUAGGGACAGCCCAAAAUGUGGACGGACUUUUCAUUUUCUAAACCUUUCUGUUUCCAGCAAAAAAGGCCAACAACUCUGAACUACUGAUUGGCUAUAGUUUAUCUUUUCCCAGAAUAACUGUAAAGCUUUUGUACUUGUGGGUACGAGUGGUAGGGUUCUAAAUGUAGCCUAGAAAGAAAUUAAUCUGAGCACGGUGAACAAGCCUGCCCACCAACUGGUCACCAUGAUGUCCGAGUAGUCUGGUUCCUAGACUGCCACUGAUGUGACCGGGAAGACUGGUUUUUGUUUCGACAUGUUGUGGGUUUGUCUGCCUCUGUAAACCAAUUUUAUUAUUAAACAUAUAUACACAGCAAACAUUUUAGUGUCAUGAUUGUGUGAAUACAGAUAAACACCCUCAGAGAGAAAGCGAGAGAGAAAAAGGGAGAGAAUUGAAAAGUUUGAAGAAUUUUAUAAGAAGUUUUAGAAGACACUUAUUUCAAUUGAAAUAAAACUUUCUAACCAUG